rnacentral:ncRNA from 1 species
AUUAUUGCACUGAUAAGGAGUAGUACUAUAUUUUUGUAAUCUAUAGAGAGCUGUUGUUUGGUGGAAAACAGUGAUACAAUUAUAGGAACUUGCCUUUGAGCUUACUUGUUAAAAGCAAGUACGGAUUCCCCGUUACGGAUUUGAGUGAAAACUUUAAACUGUUAUAAGUUAAAGUUUUAAUAAGAGUGGUACCGCGAAACAAUGCCUUUCGUCUCUUAA